CCUGCUAGUGCAUGCUGCUUGGAUGGUGGUUCAGAAUCUGAGAGAUUGCAGGGGUCCAGGUUAGUUGAGAUUGUAGGUUUUUUUCCGUGAAAUCACCUUCCUCCACAAAUUCUCCAGCCUUUCACUAAUUCAACCACAGGGUUAACCAGCUUCUCUCCAUUGGAUGAGUGAAAGUUUCUGCUUCUGUCUUGGUCAGCUGCUUGUUGUGCCUCUCAGAGGACUGCUCCUGUCUUCUUCUAGUCAAACAAGUAGAUGUAGAUCAGGUCUGAGGGUGAAAUCAGAACUCAUGAGUCAGCAGAACAGUGUCCCCUUCCAAGUUCAUGUGGUUGCUCUUCAGGUUCUACUCAUGAGCAUUCAGGAUUAAUUCCCUG
rnacentral:lncRNA from 1 species